CAGAAUAGGAAGGAAUGUGUGAGUUACUUCUUUCACAUGCCCACAGUUUACUUUAAAAUAGGAAAAUAGGGCUUCUGCAAAAUGGAAAAUUUUAGUUUAUGACUGAUUUUGAGGAGUGGCUUUCCUUUUCAUGGACACUUAAUUUUGUUCUGAUGUUAAUAUACCAAAUUUCUUCUGUGUAUCAGAUAACACCACCAUUCAUAAGUUAAGAUUCUUGGUAUUUGGAUAUCUGUUAGAUGCUACUAAGAAAAUAUAGAUAAGCUUUCUUUUUAAAGCUUUUGAGGUGGUGUCACAGAAUAGCGUGUUGUAGAUACAGUCAACUGCUUUGUUACCUUCCAAGUAGGCAUCUGUAAGUACUGAAACUUAAGAUGGCAGGUGAUGUCCUGUAGACACUGCUGUUCAGAUUGGACAUAACUGACAGAGUUCAUUCUUUCUCUCUAAAAGUGAUAGGGGAUUUGUAGCUUAGUGGUUUUUCAUUUAUUUAUUUCUAAUUUGCUGCUAAUAAUGUAUAUGAAUUUAACAUUCUGUGUAAAUUGUCAUUUGUUACUGCACAGUUUAUGCAGUGUUGCUUUGCCAAAUAAAAGUUCAAAGUAAAAAAAAUCAAGUUAUCAAGGAUAAGAAAUAUUGUUUUAAGGUUUAUUUAAGUAUUUGCAAAGCAGAAUAACACAGAGAGAGAGAGAGAGAGAGAGAGAGAGAGGUCCUCCAUCCACAGGUUCACUCUCCAGAGGGCUACAAUGGCUGGAUCUUGCUGAUCUGAAGCCAAGAGUCAGGACCCUCAUCCAAGUCUCCCACAUGAGUGCAGAGACCAAAGGAUUUGUGCCAUCCUCCAAUGCUUUUCUAGGGCAUUUUGAACCAGUGCUCUUAUGAAAUGCCAGCACUGCAGGUGGAGGUUUAACCUACUAUGCCACAGUGCUGGCCCCAAUAAAAAUAAUUCUAAAUCAACAUACCAAAAUUUAGAAUUCUUUGAAGUUUUAUUUAGGUAUUUGAAAGGCUGAGUUAGAGAGUGGGACAGAAAUCUUCAACCUACUGGUUCAAUGCCAGACAUCUGCAGCAAGCAAGCACUGGGCCAGACUGAAGGCAGGAGCCUGGAGCUCCAUUCAGGUCUCCUACAUCUGUGGCAAGGAUCUAAACACUUGUGCCAUUUUCCUCUGCUCUUCCCAGGCCAUUAGCAGGGAGUUUGAUCUGAAGCAGAGCAGCUGUGACACGGGACCAUAUGGAUGCCAGCAUCAUAGGUGGUGGCCUUACCCACAACAUCACAGUUCCAGCCCUGACAUUAAAAAUGUUCAAGUUCUAGUUCUUCUCCAGGAGGAUUUAUAUUUAUAAGACCAUUAAAAAUAAUUAUAAAUAUGGGUUUCUCAUGGAAGAUCAAUGGAGUAACCAUGAAUUUCUAGAACUCAAAAAAAGAAAAAAAAGACAGAAUUGUGAAACUGCUGAUGGAGAUCAAAAGAGAAAAAAGAGAAAAAAAGUAAUUAUAGGACUCAAUGAACUGGUGAAAUUGAUAAGAUCCUGGAGACAUCUUCAUGUACCCAAGUCUGACAAAAAUGAAUAUAUUGCCAGUAAGUUGUUUAUUCCUCAGCUUCUUUCACAUUGUAUUUAUUUUAUUUUAUUUUAUUUUUGACAGGCAGUUAGAAAGUGAGAGAGAGACAGAGAGAAAGG